GGAACUGUUUGUUAUAUUGCUCCAAAGUAUUGCAGUGGUGGCUUAUUAUCAGAGAAGUGUGAUGUCUAUAGCUUUGGUGUUCUACUUCUUGUUGUGGUUUCUUGUCGUUUACCUCUGCUGUCUGCAAGUACCUGCCUCUCCAAUUUCUGAAUUUGAGUGGGUUAAUUUGAUAUCUUGGGCUAGGCUAGGCAACUUGCAUAUAAUGGGAAACUUUUGAAUUAUCUUGAUCCUUUGAUACAUUCAUUGGAUACAGAUCAGGCAUUGCUUUGCAUCAC
rnacentral:misc_RNA from 1 species